UACGCAGUGUGCAAGCGUUAGUCGGAAUGACUGGGCGUAAAGCGCGCGUAGGCGGCUUACAAAGUUAGGCGUGAAAGUCCUGGGCUCAACCUGGGGACUGCGUCUAAUACAUGUAGGCUUGAGUGUGAUAGAGGGUCGUGGAAGUUCCAGUGUAGAGGUGAAAUUCGUAGAUAUUGGAAAGAACACCGGUGGCGAAGGCGGCGACCUGGUUCAUUACUGACGCUGAGGAGCGAAAGCGUGGGGAGCAAACAGG
rnacentral:rRNA from 1 species